UUUGAGCUCGUGCUGGGGCUGGGUCCCCCAACCACGCCCUUUGAUGUGGCCCGGGAAAGCAGCGCGCCCCCACAAUCCUUUUCUUGUCUGCAACCCUGGGGUUCUGGCUGCCUCCUUUUCUACCCACUCCUUCCUCCAAGAAGGCUCAAGGACGUGGCCCGCAGCCAGGCCUUCCAAAGUGAGCUCCAAGCUUGCUUCGGCCGUGGGGUCGCCUCUCCCUGCAGACUCCUCCCAGACGGUCACACGGUGGGCUUCAUCACAGCAUUCAAGAGAGAAAAGAAAGAGAUGAAAACGAGGCCAGAGUCGAGAUGAUGGUUAACAUGACCUGCUCAAGGCUGGACUAUGGGCAGAAAUAAAAAAAUUACAUUUUAACCUUGACUGUCACCGGAUGGCCAGAGAACAGUGCCGUGGUCCUGCCCUGCAGUGAGGACAUUUAGAAAGCCCCGGCAUGAGAUCCACUCUAGCGGGGAAGGACUGGCCUCAGAACCGGACUCAGCCUUAACCAUGCACGCUCUGCACUCUGCCUUUAAAAACCAGCCACCCCAAGACUGAAGGGGGUUCACCUAUCAACUUGCCGGUUGAGGUGUACUUCCCCGGUUUGCAAACCCUUUGACAAAGCCUCUCUUUUCUUUAAAACUUAUCUUUAGGGGCCGACCCAGUGGCAUAGUGGUUAAGUUCUUGCGCUCCGCUUCAGCUGCCCAGGGUUUGCCGGUUCGAAUUCCAGGCAUGCACCUAGCACCCCUGGUCAAGCCAUGCUGUGGCAUCAUCCCACACAGAGGAACUAGAAGGACUUAUAACUAGGAUAUAUAACUAUGUGCUGGGACUUUGGGGAGAAAAAAAACACAAGCUUAUCUUUGCGUGGUAAAGCUGUACAUUUUGGCUAACACAAGUCUCACGUCACCUCCUCAGCAGGGCUUUCCCUGCCCUCUUCCAUCUAAAGUGAACCCCAUAUACUUCCGCUGACUGUCUGUCUCACUACCAUGUUGUAUUUUCUCCCUAGAACGUGGAAACAUCCAAAAUCAUCUUGUUUGGUCAUUUGCGCGUGUGGCUCUCAGAUGCCCCCAAGGACUGUGUGACACGCUUGGUGAAUGUUUGUGGAAUUGAAGGGUUGAUGGAGGAUGACAGGAAAGUGUGGCAGAGGGAGAAAAGGAAGGAGAAAAAAGAGGGAUGCAGAUUGGCAG
rnacentral:lncRNA from 1 species